rnacentral:misc_RNA from 1 species
AGAAGAAUAACGUGAACCAAUGGUUUGUUUGAUUGCCGAGAAAAUGCAGGAACGUCUUAAGAAAUGCAGAAAUUUAUUCCUCAGAUUUUUCAUUUCAUCUAGCAACCAAACACUCCUCCUAUCGCCUACUUAACUAAAAAAAACAGAGCAUUCAAAGUGUUUGCUUUCAUUUCGUUUGCCAACUUUUUCACCAACCAAACAAAUAGUAACAGGCUCCCCAGAGUUGAGAUUGUAGAAACCUUUCUCCUCUUUUCCCUCGAUUUUCU